CCCAGUGGAGUCAGUUGUUUCUCCCUAACCCUUUCUGGAAUCUUCCAAGACUUGUGUUCCAGGAGGGGUCAGAUGUUUUGUUUAUAAUUAUCCUGUUUGCAGGAGAAACCGUCUGUCCUAUGAGGAGACUUCAUGACUAGCUUCAAGGUUUGUUCAGCUGGAGGCCUGGAGAAGCAGAGUACCUUCUGGUCCCAACAGUAACCCCAGAGAGCAGCUCCCAGAUGCCUCCUGUAGACUAACAUGAUGUGUCUCCAAGCCUGCCAGAAAAUCGGCAAAGUGGCAGAUUGGUCUCAGUUGUCCUUAGGCCAGAGGCCCUCUCAGCAGGAAGGCACUGGAGCUGCAGACAAGGGAGUGUUAAGAGUCUGUCUGGCUGUGUGGGGUAAACAAAGGACAAACUGGAAGAUUAAAAAGGAGGAAAUAUCUGCUGUUGGAAAAUAUACAAGAAAAUGUACACUUUGCUAAACCUGCCAUGGGAGGGUGGAUCCGGGGAGCAGUUCAGAACGGCAGUUUACACCAUGAACUACAUCGUUCCAUGACUCCAUUCCUAGGGUUUCAUUCUGAGGACACAGUGAAGGAUUUGUGCAAUUUUC